UACGUAGGGGGCUAGCGUUAUCCGGAAUUACUGGGCGUAAAGGGUGCGUAGGCGGUCUUUCAAGCCAGAAGUGAAAUGCUACGGCUCAACCGUAGUAAGCUUUUGGAACUGUAAGACUUGAGUGCAGGAGAGGAGAGUGGAAUUCCUAGUGUAGCGGUGAAAUGCGUAGAUAUUAGGAGGAACACCAGUAGCGAAGGCGGCUCUCUGGACUGUAACUGACGCUGAGGCACGAAAGCGUUGGGAGCAAACAGGAUUAGAUACCCCCGUAGUCCCU
rnacentral:rRNA from 1 species